UACGUAGGGUGCAAGCGUUGUCCGGAAUUACUGGGCGUAAAGAGCUCGUAGGCGGUUUGUCGCGUCGUCUGUGAAAACCAGCAGCUCAACUGUUGGCUUGCAGGCGAUACGGGCAGACUUGAGUAUUUCAGGGGAGACUGGAAUUCCUGGUGUAGCGGCGAAAUGCGCAGAUAUCAGGAGGAACACCGGUGGCGAAGGCGGGUCUCUGGGAAAUAACUGACGCUGAGGAGCGAAAGCGUGGGUAGCGAACAGGAUUA
rnacentral:rRNA from 1 species